ACUAAAAAUGGGUUGUGUAGCCCAGUCAACUUGCAUUGGUCUGAACUAUUUCUACUCAAUCUCCUGUGUCAUGGAAAGUGAAAAUCCACUCACAUUCCUCAUUUUUUCCCAGUCAAUGUGUCUAUUGUUCAAGAGAGGGAAUAUGGUUAAAAAAAAAACCAAGUCUUCCCUUUACUGUCAAGACCUGGCCUAUCUGCCUGGAGCACCAUCUCCCCAACACUGUCUGCCUGCAGUAGUGUGAUGUCUCCCUUGGGUGACUCCCCAGCUUCCUCCUCAGAUGUCAGGAGAAGUUGAGCCCAUUCCUGGCACAUCAGGAACUGGGUUGAUUGAUGGCUCUGAAUGGCUGCCCGAAAAAGAUUUGGAGGAGGCUUCAACUGGGGAAAGUUUGCAGUGGCAGACGGCCAGCAAAGAGGAGGAGGAACUGCCUUCUGCACCUGAUCUGAGAACAUGCAGGGCAGAGAAAAGGCAGGAGCAGUGGAGGUCAGCCAGACUACUCAAGAGGAGAAGACCUCACCUGUCUUGAUGGGCUGCACCAGAUAGCUGGCUAUUUAUCAUGGAAAGGUGUCCCAUUAAUAAGGAGUCCAGAAGUUUCAGGUAGAAGUUCAAGGAAACCGCUCAGCAGAAUGAACCAGCAUGCUGCCAAACACUCAUUUUCAGCUGCUGAAGAAAGAAAAAUAUGGACAAUAUCCAAAUAGAAGUUUUGGCAAAAGGACAGAUGCAUGAUCUUUGGCUCUGGUGCUGGAAAUGAAUUCUGAAAUUCAGCCUCAAACUGAGAUAUUUUGUUCUUCUGUGCCUGCCUGCCUGAGCUGCCAUUUUGCACCCAAAUACUUGGAACAUGGAGGUUCUUAUGAAAAGUUUGAGAACAGGAAUAACAUUAGCCAGUCAUGUGGCUCUCACCUAUCAAGAGACUGGCUGUGGAUGGAUCAACAAACGUGAGGCAAAGGUUUUAUACUUUGUGCUGAAGUUCUGUUAUACAGGCAUCUUCUAAAUGCGUUGUCAUGGUUCUGAUAGAUGAAACCCAUCAAAAGAACUUCAAGGAAAAAUUCUUCCUGAAAGAACAUUUUAUUCAGGAAACAAAGUAUCA